UUUUAGAGAAGGUUGGGAUGUGCCAGCUUUACAUUAAGGACUGCGUUGGAAAUGUUAUUUGUGAAACAGACAGCGGAACAGGAAACAUACAACACAAAUAAGAUGUUCAUUUCACGCGAGUUGCUGUGAUCCAUUAAUGAUAAACAGGUGAUGUUGACUUGUACCUGGCUCGCUAUCAGAUUAACGAAAGGAAAUUGGCUGAAGAACACACACAUGGUACUAUGACGUCAUCUUAUCGAACAGCACAAUAAUUAGCCGUGCAAGUCACUCUCCUGAAGGGAAAUUAGUGUCGUACAUCCUAUCAUAAUUGGCAGAGAGGGUUGUAACUUUGGCACAGGAUGGCCGCCCGACAGACCUGCCUUCGACACGGUCGUUGGAAACCGUACCAGUUUAGUAUCCAGGUUAGAACCAUUCCAGGUGGCGUCUCCACAAACGGACACUCAUAUCAUUGAAAGGUUGCACAAGCAAGAUUGAUAUCGACAACCGGAUGGGUAUCCCUGACGAUCAUAAAGGGAGAUGUUACGUCAAGGCAGUGGAAAUUACAAGAAGAUACACAUCACAAAAACAUGGACAUUUGCAUAUCAUUUCAUCAUAAUUACACAUCAGGAAAUUUAUUUCCACCUCUAAGGAUACCCCUAAUCCGAAAACAAGCUGACAACAUGUCACGUGACGGUCGUGGAUUGGAUAUAAUGUUUCCCAACGUGAAUUGCUUAUCGACAGCUUUUGCUAAUUAGUGUUCGACAAUCUCAUAUGGGAAUAACAGCUUUACCUUAAAAAUUAAUUACAUAUAUUUUUGAAAUGAGACCAACACGACAUGACCAGGUGGACGGGGAAAUGCCGUGAUAUGAUAAGAAGAUCUAUGUGUUAAUAAGACAAGUCGGGUUACGUGGACGUGAAGGAUCGAUAACGGAGUGUCGAUAAUGGCAGCGCUAGAAGGUAUUAGUAUACAAGUCAAAGUACAGGUGACACGUUGACCUCAUAAAUAUGAUUACCAUUUACCUAUACUUGCGUACUAAUGCAAAAACAAUCAUUCCAUAACAACCAAUUCCCGAAAUGAGUUUUUUUUUUUGACACUCUGUCGUCCGUUCCAUGUCCUCUGAUUAAACUCAUGACAUCUACAUUACGUAUUCAUCGGAAAAAAAUAUAGGAGAUUAAACCCGAUCUAUUUGGACCUAAGUAUAUCUCCUCAUUGUAAACGAGCUUCAUAUAUGUUAUCAAUAAAUCAUUG